rnacentral:sRNA from 1 species
UCUUGAAGCUGGGUGCUCAGUCAAAAAGGAAAACCUUCCCUGAACAGAGGAGGAUUGGUUGUCUGUCAAGAGCUUUCAAGUGGCUGUUCUGUCCUGCUAGAACCUCUGAACAAGCUCCUAAGCAUCACAGUUAAUUAUGUCUAAUAGUUUGUUAUAGCAAUAGUGAUAACAGGGAAUAUAGC